rnacentral:rRNA from 1 species
UCCGUAGGGUGCGAGCGUUGUCCGGAUUCAUUGGGCUUAAAGGGCGCGUAGGCGGCCUGUCAAGUCGGCGGUGAAAUGCGAAGGCUCAACCUUCGGACUGCCGCCGAUACUGUCGGGCUUGGGUCGCAGCGGGGCGGGUGGAACUUGCGGUGUAGCGGUGAAAUGCAUAGAUACCGCAAAGAACGCCGAAGGCGAAGGCAGCCCGCUGGUUGCGUUCCGACGCUGAGGCGCGAAAGCGUGGGGAUCCAACAGG